CCUACGGGAGGCAGCAGUGGGGAAUAUUGGACAAUGGGGGCAACCCUGAUCCAGCGACGCCGCGUGUGUGAAGAAGUAUUUCGGUUCGUAAAGCUCUAUCAGCAGGGAAGAAAAUGAUGGUAUCUGUCUAAUAAGCCCUGGCUAAGUACGUGCCAGCAGCCACGGUAAUACGCAGGGGGCAAGCGUGAUGCGGAUUUGCUGGGUGUAAAGGGAGCGUAGACGGCUGCGCAAGUCUGGAGUGAAAUGCCGGGGCUCAACCCCGGAACUGCUCUGGAAACUCUGAAGCUGGAGUGCAGGAGAGGGAGGCGGAAUUCCAGGUGUAGCGGUGAAAUGCGUAGAUAUCAGGAGGAACACCGGCGGCGAAGGCGGCUUACUGGACUGAAACUGACGUUGAGGCUCGAAGGCGUGGGGAGCAAACAGGAUUAGAUACCCCUGUAGUC
rnacentral:rRNA from 1 species